CGUUCUCUGGGUUGUUCGCCAGUUGUUUAUAGACCCUCGAGCCUAUACUGACCUCCAGGGAGGCCAAACGCUAGGCGGGUCUGUGUGCAUGUCCGCGCGUCGGAAAGCCUGAUGACCCGUCUGCGGCCACCCACCUGAACCAAUAGGUUCAGGGCCACAACAACAGCGGCAGCCCGGAGAACUC
rfam:Kushneria sp. YCWA18 contig19, whole genome shotgun sequence.